rnacentral:rRNA from 2 species
GUGUGACCCCAGGAUGGGCGGGGUGACCCGCUGAGUUUAAGCAUAUCAAUAAGCGGAGGAGAAGAAACUUACGAGGAUUCCCUUA